rnacentral:rRNA from 1 species
GACGAGGGGUCCAAGCGUUGUUCGGAAUCAUUGGGCGUAAAGCGCGUGUAGGCGGCCAAGCAAGUCGGAUGUGAAAGCCCCUCGGCUCAACCGGGGAAGUGCACUCGAAACUGCAUGGCUAGAGUCUCGGAGAGGAUCGUGGAAUUCUCGGUGUAGAGGUGAAAUUCGUAGAUAUCGAGAGGAACACCGGUGGCGAAGGCGGCGAUCUGGACGAUGACUGACGCUGAGACGCGAAAGCGUGGGAGCAACA